rnacentral:lncRNA from 1 species
AAAAUUUCAUUAAGCAGAAGAAAUGUAGUAAAAUAUCUGAAAUGUGAAUCUAAUACAACUGUUUAAGACUUAAUCACCCAGAACUGGUGUCACAGUACCACCGACGAUCUAAGAGUUCUAAAUACAAAGUCUGAAAAUAAAGAUACGCUGUUUCUGAAUCAAAGAAAUGAAAUAGGAAAUCAUGGAUAGAGGAGACUCCAGGGCCUGCGGACACAUGCAGGUCUACCUUGGAUAUCCGCGUGGACUGAUGAUAGACACCCAAAUGCUAUGGUCCGAGAUCUGCUCCAGGAUCUGCACAUAGUGCAGAGUGUAGUAUCAGUAGAACCGACUCCAUGUGCUAGUAAGUGCCUAGACUAACAUCAGCGAAGUAGGACGAGGCUAGGACCAGACUACCAAAUGAACCUGUGCAGUUAUAUAAUAUACAGUGGAAAAUAAAAUAGAAAUAAAUAAGUGAAGAUGGGAUGGGGUACAUGUUGCGGGGGUGUAUCAGUAUCAACAGUAAAUCGAGAGUAACGGCAUAAGAACAACUUAGAAUUCACGGCAAAACAAUAGGAAACUUAUAUCCAAUCUAUAAACACUUUGUAUCAAUAAUUGUUGCGGCGCGCAACCCGAUCCCAAUAUAUUACAACACUGUUGCGGCGUGCAACCCAAUCCCAAUAUAUAACAACACUGUUGCGGCGUGCAACCCGAUCCAUAUCAUUCAUCACUGUUGCGGUGCGCAACCCGACCCACAUAUAUCAUUGUUGCGGCGUGCAACCCGAUCCACAUAUAUCAUUGUUGCGGCGUGCAACCCGACCCACAUAUAUCAUUGUUGCGGCAUGCAACCCGAUCCACAUAUAAUAUUGUUGCAGCGUGCAACCCGAUCCACAUAUAAUAUUUUUGCGGGCUGCAACCCGAUCCACAUAUAUAAGCAACACCAAUUAUAACAAGAGUCCAGGCAAGGGAUCAAUAAAGAACUACACUAUCCCGGCAAGGGAAUUGACAGUAUCAGUAAAUACGUCCCGAUAAGGGAGAAACAACUAUAACCUAACUUGUUCCAACAUCUAACUACCUUAGCUAACACCAAUACUCAAUCAUAAGUAAUUCUACAAGAACAAUCAUAAUCCUUGCUCAAUACAGAGAACCAUCAAUUUAAGCAUCCGUAGUAUUAUUCAAGAACACAAUAAAUCACAAUUUAAGACUCGCGCUCAUGCUCGACACCAACGUAUAGAUACUCGUCACCAUGACUAUACAUCGUAUUCAACAAGAAACAAGUAGCAAAUAGGAAACAACUCCUAAUCCCUCAAGCUAAGGUUAGACCAAACACUUAACUCGAUGCCACAAACACAAUUCACGUCUCAAUUAUCGCUUUACCCCUUGAUUCCACCACCAAUUUGCUCGUAUCUAGCCACACGUUACUUUUUUAGAUCAAUAAAUGCUAAAUGAAUCAAUUCCAAUGCAUGAACACUGUCACACCUCCUUUUUACCUACACCCCGAUAAGGGUGUAAGAGAGUUUUUUCCAAUUAAAGUGACAAUCGAAACGGGAUUUAUUUCAAUUAAAAUUCAGAGUCGCCACUUGGGAUAAUUUUAUGGUGUCCCAAGUUACCGGUUCAAAUACUGAAUCGAGGAAAAGAUUGACUAUGUAUUAUAGUCCGCGAACCAGAAAUUCGGGUAAGGAAUUCUGUUAACUCGGGAGAAGGUGUUAGGCAUUCCCGAGUUCCGUGGUUCUAGCACGGUCACUCAACUGUUAAAAUUGGCUCAAUUAUCUGAUUUUAGAACACUUCUAAACCUAUGUGCAUUUUUAACUUUAAAACCGCUUUAAUUAAUUAUAAGGAAGCUUGCAACGUCAUUUAAAAUACGUCUUGAACCACGUCACAUAAAUGCACCCGCAGUCCGCAACACAUUUUAUCUAACGUUAUUGUGAUUUGGAUUUGAGUCACAUAAAUGCGCACCCGAGUUUAGGAAGGUAAAUUAUUUAAUAGCGCGCCUACAUCAACUAUGCAUUUUCAACUUUGUAAGGGCUAUGGAAAUUCAACUAAAUGGCACGCCUCGAUUUCUAAAUAUUUGAACAUUAAUCGAAUAAGGGCCAUAGGUUCUGGGAUUUUAUUUGGCAUGGCACGCCUCAAUUUAUUUCAAAAGAAUGUAUUCAACUAAAGCAAACCACAUAUGUUUAUAAGUAAUAAGUGACAUGAACUCAUAAAUAAGCAUAUUAGCUACAUGGUACUAAUCUGGAAUGAACUUGCAUUAAUAGCAACAACUGCCCACCACUUUGCAAACUCCAUGGAGUGUGAACUAGCUUAGACCAGACUGUGCAAGCCACUUGAAUAAUAUGAAUGUUUUGGCACUAUAACAUCAUUUAACAUGUAGAAGACCUCACAACUAUGUUUAAGAGAUUAUUUAACCUAUAUUGUGCUUAUAUAAAGUGACAAUGUAAAAGAAAUUUGACUUUAUUAUCGUCUGUAUGCCCAUGUCAAUUGCAAUUUGCCAAGUUAUACCCAAAAAUGGUCACUUGUACAGCUUUGUUCCUUGAUAUACAACAACGCACAUAUUCAAUCAAAUGUUGCUAAUUCAAAUCCUAGUCUCCAGAAUAAAGCACAACAAUCCACUAGAGAACUAAAUUAGUACCUCAGUGCAAAGUAUUGACAGAGAAUCGAUACUUCACUUCACGAAUCAGAACAACAAUGACAACAAAAGUUUCAUUCAAUGCAGAAAUGCAGAUCCAGUUUAUAUCAAAUAUACACGCCUUUUUAUUGCUAUUUCAAUAUGAUAACAAUCUAAUUAGAGGUCUACGGACAUAACGGAAAUAGAUCAACACACAAAAGUGAACUUGAAGAUUCAACAAACAUGAAGAAUUUUAAUUGAAGAUCAAAGGAAUUAAGGUUUUUCACCUGAUGAAGAAGCAUAACAAGUUAUUGACGGAACCUCGAACCGGCAAACUCGACUCAAAUGAAACUCCGUCGGUUGCAAAUUGAAAACUCGCCGAUGACAAAAUCUAGCCGAGUCAACCAAAUGAACGUACGAGCAAGAAAAUCUUAGAGGCAGUCAAAGCUACUGGAUCUCGUCAUUUCCGGCAAUGUAACAGUGAAAAGAGAGAGAGAAAAGAUGAGAAACGAGAAUGGCGUGAUAGCAGUUCGCCGGAUUUAAUGGAGGGUCACCGGAUUUAACCAAACACUCGACCAGAUCUGAAACUCAUCGCACAUGGAGGAGAGGAGAGGACGGAAGCCAUGAAGCUUCGUUGGUCGUCGACAAGUUGACAGCGGCGAUGGUUCCUGGCAGAAGAAGAAGAAGCCUAGCUUUUUCUAGGUUCUUUGGAGGAAGAAGAAGCUUCAGUGGUUUUAUGAGGGUGAAGCUUCAUUUAUGGCUGUUGCGUGGUGAAAGGAGGUCCGGCGAUGAAGUUUUGGUGGUGAGGGUGCGGCUAGUAUGGAGAUGGAGCUAGGUUCUAGGGUUUUCUGGAGUUAAAUCUUCAUGAAGAAGAUGAAGGAGCUCCAUUUUGGCUGAUGAUGUUUCCCAAAAACGGUCCUUCUUUUCUUUGUAAACUUUUUAGCUUUUCUUUUAUUUUCCCAAGACAAAACGUCGCAUUACCUAUAAUAUAGGUCUAGGUUUUAGGUGUAUUGUUUUGUGUAUUUGCCAAUUAUCCCUAGGUCUUUUGUGUAUUAGGUCCUUAGGGUCCUUUUUUGUUUAUUUUUAUUCCAAAGAGGAGUCUA